rnacentral:rRNA from 1 species
UGACCUCUGACCUCAAAUCAGGUAGGACUACCCGCUGAACUUAAGCAUAUCAAUAAGCGGAGGAAAAG